rnacentral:rRNA from 1 species
UACGUAGGUGGCAAGCGUUGUCCGGAUUUACUGGGCGUAAAGGAUGCGUAGGCGGAUGUUUAAGUGAGAUGUGAAAUACCCGAGCUCAACUUGGGUGCUGCAUUUCAAACUGGAUAAUCUAGAGUGCAGGAGAGGAAAGCGGAAUUCCUAGUGUAGCGGUGAAAUGCGUAGAGAUUAGGAAGAACACCAGUGGCGAAGGCGGCUUUCAUGG